rnacentral:lncRNA from 1 species
GAUACGAUUCUAAGAGAAUCGAGAUUAAGAUUAGAUAGACCUGGAGUGGAUUCCUGUCUUAGAUCCAAGACCCAAAGAUCAAGGAUAUCCAAGACUCAAGCAACGGGAAUAUAUCCCUGAAAUCAAGACUUAGCCCAAGGUGGUCAAUGCGGUUAAGCAAACCAGUUGGGGGCUCGAUUCGGCUGGACUGAAGAUCGAUCGGAGACGGGCGGAGAGAUGGCUGUGACGACGGUGAUGGCGCAGGUGUACUCGACGGCAGUCGGAGGAAAUUAGGGUUGGAAUUUCGGGGAGCAAAAUGAUUGUCAAAUUUCUUAAUAAUUCUGUUAUUGUAUUACAGACUUUUAUAUUUUAAUUGAAUUGAAAAUACUCUAAUACUUAAGGAGUCUUUUGCAAAAUUUUAAAAUUAAAUAGGUCUUCAAAUUCUGAUUUAGCCACUUCCCAUUGAGUCCAUCACGUAGUCCUUGAAGCGCGCCGGCGUCUUCUUGGUUCGACUCGGCCUGUGGUAGGCUGAACCCGGUUCACUGUCUUCAAACGACCUCGAGCCAACGUCUUCUUCCCCAAUCUGUCCGCCUAGGUCUUCCCCGCAUAGCAGCGAUGUCACCGGUGGCGUCGUCGUAGUCCAAUGUGAUCGUAUCAUCACUCCCGCCUUCGAAACUGACCUUGUCCUCAAGGUUUAGAGAUGGAAAAGAUUUGUUCAGCUCCUCCAACGAUUCCCAGGAUGAAUCUUCUGGUAAGGCACCGUUCCAUUGAACCAGUAGUUGUUUUUCUUGUUUUCUUCCUUGCAAUACGGUUCUAUUAUCCAGAAUAGCCAAUGGGUAGAUUACUGGUUUGUUGUCGACAGUUAUGAGAGGAUCUAAAAGACAACCAUUUCCCUGGACUUCACCGAUAUAAGGCUUCAAUCUGGAAAUGUGGAACACAUUGUGUAUCCUACUCCCCUCAGGUAGACUUAAUUGAUAGGCCACUCUACUGAUUUUUUUUGAUAUUUUAUAUGGGCCAAAAUAUCUUUGGCUAAGUUUGUAGUGCAUUCUGUUUGCAAGUGAAUUUUGUCUGUAGGGCUGAAGUUUUACUAAUACCCAAGCUCCCUCUUCAAAGGAGUGAUCUGUUCUCUUUUUAUCCGCUUGUAAUUUCAUUCUGUUCUGAGCUUUCACUAAGUUCUCCUUGAGUUUGAUUAAUGUAUCUUCUCUGAUCUAUAGUUGUAUAUCAACUUCCUCAAUAGUAGAAUGUCCAGAAUUGUAGUUUGGUAUUUCAGUUGAUUCUUUACCAUACAAAGCCUUAAAAGGUGUCAUUUUAAGAGAAGAAUGAUAGCUAGAGUUGUACCAUAAUUCUGCCCAAGGAAGAAUUUUCAACCAAUUUUUAGGAUCUUCAUGACAAAAAGAUCUCAAAUACAUUUCUAAUAUUCUGUUCACCACCUCAGUUUGUCCAUCUGUUUCCGGAUGAUAUGAGGAUGAAUAUAGUAGUUUAGUGCCACUUAACCUGUGAAGCUCCUUCCAAAACUUGGAAGUGAAGAUUCUGUCUCUAUCCGAUACUAUAGUGCUUGGAAUACCAUGUAAUUUGAUGAUAUCUUUUAGGAAUACCUCAGCUACCUUUGAUGCAUUAAAAUUGGGAGGAAGCGGACUGAAAUGGGCAAACUUGGUUAGUCUGUCCACCACAACCAUAAUUAUUGUUUUUCCUUCUACUCUUGGUAGAUCAGUGAUAAAAUCCAUGCUAAUAUCUUUCCACACCUCAGAAGGAAUUGGCAAUGGCAUGAGUAAUCCUGAAGGCUUUUGGUUCAAAGGCUUUAUUUUCUGACAGACCUCACAAUUUCUUACAUAUUCAUAGAUCAUCUUUCCCAUUUUAGGCCAAUAAAAUAAUUUAAAAAUCCUCAUUUUUGUUCUCUGGUAACCAGCAUGACCACCUAGCAAGGAGCAAUGAUAUUCCCACAUGAUUUUAGGAAUUAAAUUAGAUUCUUCAUCAACAUAAUACCUUCCUUUGUAAUAUAAGAUUCCCUCUUUAACUGUGAAUCCCGAUAAGCCUUCACUUGUCUCUGAAUACUUCUGUAUUAAAGUCUGAAUUUUAGUAUUUUCCUCACCUUCUUUCUUCAAGUCCUCCAUAAGAGUGUUGAACUGUGUGAUUAAUGCUAACAGUGAUCCAGGAGCCUCUUCUGAAUUGCUGGAAAACAAAACCUCCUCUUCUUCUUCAAAUGACCUUGAUAAAGCAUCUGCUACUACAUUCUCUUUUCCAGGUUUAUAGAUGAUAGAAAAAUCGAAACCUAGUAAUUUGCAUAAAAAUGCCUGCUGCUCCGGAGUUUGAAUGACCUGAGUUAGAAGGUUCUUUAAGCUUUUAUGGUCGGUCCUGAUAAUAAAAUGGGACCCCAAAAGAUAGUGCCUCCACUUACUCACUGCUUGAGUAAUAGCAUACAUUUCUUUCACAUAAAUAGAUGCCGAGCUUAUCCUACCUGAUAACUUGCAACUAUAAAAGGAUAUAGGAUGAUGCUCUUGGGUCAGAACUGCCCCAAUACCACUAUUACAGGCAUCUGUUUCUAUUUCAAAUUUCUUGGAGAAAUCUGGAAAAUUCAGAACAGGGACUGUGGUCAUUGCUGUCUUAAGUUUUUUGAAACUGGAAUUUGCUGAAUCACUCCACUUAAAAGAAUCUUUCUUCAAUAAAUCCGUCAUGGCAGCUGCUAUCUGAGCAUAUCCUUUAACAAACCUUCUGUAAUAGCCAGUUAAGCCCAAAAAUCCUCUUAGUUUCUUUAAAUUUUUAGGAAUGGGCCAAUCCACCAUAGCUUUUAUCUUUUCAGGAUCAGGAUGUACACCAUCUGCUGCAAUGAUAUGGCCAAGAAACCCCAUUGAAUUCUUCCCAAAACUACAUUUAGACAGUUUGGCCAGCAAUCUGUUAUUUCUUAGAGUUUCAAACACUAUUUUUAGAUGCACCUUGUGGUCUUGGAGAGAAGAGCUGUAGACCAAUAUAUCAUCAAAGAAUAUAAUUACGAAUUUUCUUAGAUACUUACUGAAGACUGAGUUCAUCACCGAUUGGAAUGUUGCUGGUGCGUUAGUAAGCCCAAAAGGCAUUACUAAAAACUCGAAAUGUCCCUGGUGAGUCCUAAAAGCUGUUUUCUCUGUAUGUGGUGGGUGUACUCUGAUCUGGUGGAAUCCAGAUCUCAAGUCCAACUUAGAAAAAAUUGUUGAACCUUUCAACUCGCCAAGAAGCUCAUCUACAGUGGGGAUAGGGAAUUUAUCCUUUACUGUUAGUGCAUUAAGGGCUCUGUAGUCCACGCACAACCUGUAACCUCCAUCUUUCUUCUUCACUAACAGUACUGGUGAAGAGUACGGACUACUGCUGGGUUGGAUAAUUUUCUGAUUUAACAUCUCAGAAAUCAGUUUCUCUAUCUCAGUUUUUUGGAACUGAGGGUAUCUGUAUGGCCUCACAUUCACCGGAUUUGAUUGUGGUUCCAGAUGAAUAUAGUGGUCCCUCUUUCUUUGGGGUGGUAGGCCAGCUGGUGAGUCAAAAAUAUCUGUGAAUUCUUGUAUAAUUGGGGUAAGUUCAGCUUCAUGAGUUUCAAUCUGUGGGAAUUCCAGAUUUUUAUCCACUUUUUCUAAGUAACAUAUAUAAGCUUCUUGGGUAGAUGCACUAAGACACUUUAGCUGUCCAGUAGUGAGGGGGUCUUCGGAUAUCCAAGGACAUCCAUGCCAUACGAUUGUAUUGCCCUCCUUAUCGAAUUUCAUCCAUAAUUUAUCAAAAUCAAAUGUUACGGGUCCUAAAGUUUUCAGACCUUGUAUACCGAUGACCAUGUUGGAUCCAGCCAUAGGUAGGAGGAAAAUAUCCAUUUUUAUACUCGUACCCUGAAUUUUUAUCUCCACAUCCUUACAAACUUUGUCACAAAUUAACUUUUCUCCACUUCCCGUGGAUACUUUAAAGGGAAUAAUAAUAUGAAUGGUCAAUUUGAGUGCCUUGGCCACCUCUACUUGCAUAAAAUUGUGAGUUGAUCCUGUGUCUACCAACACACUCACACACUGAUAUUUAAUGUACCCAUCUAACCUGAUUGUGUUAGAAUUAAUAUGACCCUCAAAAGCACUGAAGCUGAUUUCUGUUUGGCUUCCUUGUAUUAACUCUUCUGGUCCGUCCUCCUGGACAAUAGGCACCUCAUCUUCCACUUCCCAGAAACAUGAUUCAUCUGCUGAAAGUCUGAAAAUUUUUCCUUUGCAUUUAUGACCUGACACAUACUUGUCAUCACAAUUAAAACAAAGACCCUUUGCAGUCCUCUCCUUUCUCUCGGCAGGAGACAAUCUUUUGAAUACCGGAAUUUUUGAAGUAUUUCCUGAACCAGAAUUUUGUGCAAUUGAAACAGAGUUUUGUGUCAUUGUACUAGUGUCUGAAUCACCUUUAGGAAUGAAAGGUACUAUUUUUUGUGAUUUAUUUCCUUGAUACUUGUAGCUUGAUCCUUUAUAACCCCCUGAUCUGGCCUCAAUCUUUCUAGAUAAUUCCAUUGCUUCAUGUAUGUCAACGGGCUUGUAUCUUAAUACUUCAGUUUGAAUGUAUUCUUUAAGACCGGAAAUAUACAUUUUGAAUAUGAAAUACUCAGGAAGUCCUAGAACUUUAGUGCAUAAAUCUUCGAACAUAGCUUGAUAUUCAAUCACUGAGCCCUCUUGGCAGAGCUUGCUUAGUUGACCUCCGGGAGAGAGUAAUGCCAAUUUGUAAAUUUUCGGAUCACAGCAUCAACAAAAUUUUUCCAUGUCGAUAAUAAAUUGCUUGCUUCUAGCCAAGCAAACCAUUUUUUUGCUAUCCCAUCCAGAUGAAAGGACACUAUUAGUAACUUCUGAUCUUCUGGUAUUUUAUUAAAAAUGAAAUACCUUCUUACUGAAAAUAACCAGCCCUCUGCCUCUGUGCCAUCGAACCUAGGCAUAUUGACUUUAAUAUGUUUUGCCGGUGAGUAACUAUCAUUUUGGGUGAUACUUGAUGCAUACGUAGGGUUAUCCAAGUCUACAACCGAUUUGUAAUUUUGGUUGGGACUCUGUGAUUUGCCUGUAUCAUUGGGCAGCAAAUCUGGAGGUUUUUCUUUAAAAUUAUUACAAAGUUCUUGUAUCUGCCUUCCUAGCUCCAAAAAGUUGCUAUUAACUGUUGUUCUAAACUCUCCCAUUUCUUUAAUUUGUGACAUUUGCAGAUUUUGUAGACGGAGAAAAUCUGGAUUAUUAGAGAUAUCGACAGCAGUCAUCCUGAAAUAAUGAGUUCAAAGUUGUUGAAAGCACCAGUGAUACGAUUCUAAGAGAAUCGAGAUUAAGAUUAGAUAGACCUGGAGUGGAUUCCUGUCUUAGAUCCAAGACCCAAAGAUCAAGGAUAUCCAAGACUCAAGCAACGGGAAUAUAUCCCUGAAAUCAAGACUUAGCCCAAGGUGGUCGAUCAAUGCGGUUAAGCAAACCAGUUGGGGGCUCGAUUCGGCUGGACUGAAGAUCGGUCGGAGACGGGCGGAGAGAUGGCUGUGACGACGGUGAUGGCGCAGGUGUACUCGACGGCAGUCGGAGGAAAUUAGGGUUGGAAUUUCGGGGAGCAAAAUGAUUGUCAAAUUUCUUAAUAAUUCUGUUAUUGUAUUACAGACUUUUAUACUUUAAUUGAAUUGAAAAUACUCUAAUACUUAAGGAGUCUUUUGCAAAAUUUUAAAAUUAAAUAGGUCUUCAAAUUCUGAUUUAGCCACUUCCCAUUGAGUCCAUC